rnacentral:rRNA from 1 species
UACGUGAGGGUCCGAGCGUUUGUCCGGAGUUACUGGGCGUAAAGCGCGCGAGGCGGCGGUGUUGGCCCGGCGUGAAAGCCCCCCGGCUCAACCGGGGAGAGUCGUCGGGGACCGCACGCUUGAGGGCGGUGAGGGGCUGGUGGAAUGCCUGGUGUAGUGGUGAAAUGCGUAGAGAUCAGGCAGAACACCUGGGGCGAAGGCGGCCAGCU